rnacentral:SRP_RNA from 1 species
GCUGGGCGCUGUGGCCCGUGCCUAUAGUCCCAGCUACUUGGGAGGCUGAGGUUGGGAGGGUUGCUUGAACCCAGGAGUUCUGGGCUGUAGUGCGUUAUGCUGGGUGUCUGCACUAAGUUCAGCAUCAAUACGGUGACCUCCCCAGAUCGGGGACCACCAGGUUGCCUAAGGAGGGGUGAACUGGCCCAGGUCAGAAACAGAGCAGGUCAAAACGCCCGUGCUGAUCAUUAGUGGGAUCACGCCUAUGAAUAGCCACUGCACUCCAGCCUGGGCAAUGUAGCAAGACUCCAUCUCUU